UAUAAAAGUUGUCUCUGGCACUGGCUCUUCACAUUACCUGACUCCACCAGGAGAAAUCCUGCAGUGUCUGUGAUCAGGAUUUACUGAACUCCCACCAAGAUGUCCUGCCAGCAAAGCCAGCAGCAGUGCCAGGCCCCUAAGUGCCCCCCUAAGUGUCCUCCCAAGUGUCAGACCCCUAAAUGCCCACCCAAAUGCCCCCCUAAAUGCCCUCCCAAGUGCCCUCCCCAGGCUCCCUGCCCUCCUCCAGUCUCUUCUUGCUGUGGCUCUAGCUCUGGAGGAUGCUGCAGCUCUGGGGGAUGCUGUGGGUCCAGCUCUGGGGGGUGCUGCAGCUCUGGCUCCGGGGGCAGCUGCUGCCUCUUUUCCCAUCACAGGAGAUCCCACAGACGCCGGCACCAGAGGUCUGACUGCUGUGACAGUGGCAGUGGGCGCAGCCAGCAAUCCGGGGGCUGCUGUGGGAGCUCUGAGGACUGCUGCUGAUCACCUGGUUCUCUCUACACCAACAAUCCACAACACAGAACCAAAAGCCAAUGACCCUCCCUCAGACUGUGACAGACUUUCCUUUCCAAUUGUACAUCUUGCUCUCCAGAAGUCAUUAUUCACCUUAUCCCUUGUCUCUGCCUGACAUCUGACCCAAUUGGUCAUUGACCAUUUGCAACAAUAAAAUAUAAAAGAUGGUCUUCUUUA